AUUGAACGCUGGCGGCAGGCCUAACACAUGCAAGUCGAACGAGUGGCGGACGGGUGAGUAAUGUCUGGGAACCUGCCUGAUGGAGGGGGAUAACUACUGGAAACGGUAGCUAAUACCGCAUACAAUCAGAUGUGCCCAGAUGGGAUGAGCUAGUGGUUGGGGUAACGGCGCACAAAGGCGACGAUCCCUAGCUGGUCUGAGAGGAUGACCAGCGACACUGGAACUGGGACACGGUCCAGACUCCUACGGGAGGCAGCAGUGGGGAAUAUUGCACAAGGGGCGCAAGCCUGAUGCAGCCAGGCCGCGUGUAUGAAGAAGGCCUUCGGGUUGUAAAGUACUUUCAGCGGGGAGGCGUUACCCGCAGAAGAAGCACCGGCUAACUCCGUGCCAGCAGCCGCGGUAAUAC
rnacentral:rRNA from 1 species